AUUGAACGCUGGCGGCAGGCCUAACACAUGCAAGUCGAGCGGAUGAAGGGAGCUUGAUCCUGGAUUCAGCGGCGGACGGGUGAGUAAUGCCUAGGAAUCUGCCUGGUAGUGGGGGAUAACGUCCGGAAACGGGCGCUAAUACCGCAUACGUCCUGAGGGAGAAAGUGGGGGAUCUUCGGACCUCACGCUAUCAGAUGAGCCUAGGUCGGAUUAGCUAGUUGGUGGGGUAAAGGCCUACCAAGGCGACGAUCCGUAACUGGUCUGAGAGGAUGAACAGUCACACUGGAACUGAGACACGGUCCAGACUCCUACGGGAGGCACGAGUGGGGUAUAUUGGACAAGGGGCGAAAGCAUGAUCCAGCCAUGCCGCGUGUGUGAAGAAGGUCUUUGGAUUGUAAAGCACUUUUAGUUGGGAGGAAGGGCAGUAAGAUAAUACCUUGCUGUUUUGACGUUACCAACAGAAUAAGCACCGGCUAACUUCGUG
rnacentral:rRNA from 1 species